rnacentral:hammerhead_ribozyme from 1 species
AUCCAAUUGACGAGUCCAAAAUAGGACGAAACGCACGUCUUGGAU